CGCACCAUGACAUUUUGGGUCCAAAUUCGGCGUUACGUCAUUUGAGAAAACAUCGAUUAAAGUUACGUCACAAAAAAUGGUGGACGUUACCACGUGUUCGCGGCAAUAAAUGCAUUUCUUGUUUUCAAUAAUACUCUACCUUGCCACAAGAAAAAAAUGGAGUGACAUUUAUAAACAUUUCCGUGUUUUGCAAUUCCGUUUCUUUAAAAAAUUUAAAUGAUUGAUAAUUUAUCGCCCUUUGAAUUGACACGCCAUUUGUAAACAUCGAAGGUCGCGGAGAAAAUGAAACUACCAAAAACAAUUAUUUGAUGAUUUAUUUCGAUUGUAUAAAGAAUGACAGUUAGCGAAUCUCAAGAUCAACCACUGAGGAUUGUUUGGCUUGAUGCAAUGACCUUAAACAGUGAAAUGAUUUUCCAGGAAGGUCUAUACACAACAAGUUGGAUUUUAUGGGGUGAUGAAAGAACUAUGAAUAUGUAAAUGGGAAUGAAACAGAAGGAAUGAAUAUGUUCUACUGAUCAUCCAGCUGAAAUCAUGCCUGUGGAAUUAGAGUGCAUGUCACAAAUACUGAUAUGAGCAAAUACUCCAUA